rnacentral:rRNA from 1 species
UACAGGUGGGCGGGUAGAGAAUACCAAGGCGAUCGGGAGAACUAUGGUUAAGGAACUCGGCAAAAUGCCUCCGUAACUUCGGGAGAAGGAGGACCCCAUUAGGGUGAAGGACCUUGCGUCCGGAGCUCGAAGGGGUGGCACAGACCAGGGGAAAGCGACUGUUUACUAAAAACACAGCAGCGUGCGAAGUCGCAAGACGAUGUAUACGCUGUGACGCCUGCCCAAUGCCGGAAGGUUAAAGGGAAAGGUUAGUCCGCAAGGGCGAAGCUUUGAACUGAAGCCCCGGUGAAUGGCGGCCGUAACUAUAACGGUCCUAAGGUAGCGAAAUUCCUUGUCGGGUAAGUUCCGACCUGCACGAAUGGCGUAACGACUCUCCUACUGUCUCAACCAUAGACCCGGCGAAAUUGAAGUACGAGUAAAGAUGCUCGUUAGCUGCAGAAGGACGGAAAGACCCCGUGGACCUUUACUAUAGCUUGAUGUUGAGUUUUGUUAUGUGUUGUGUAGGAUAGGUGGGAGACUUGGAAACAUUGGCGCCAGCCAGUGCGGAGUCAACCUUGAAAUACCACCCUGCUCGUGACGGAGCUCUAACCCACGUCCCUGAUCGGGAUGGGGAACAGCGUCAGGUGGGUAGUUUGACUGGGGCGGUCGCCUCCUAAAGAGUAACGGAGGCGCCCAAAGGUUCCCUCAGACUGGUUGGCAAUCAGUCGUCGAGUGCAAUGGCACAAGGGAGCUUGACUGCGAGACCUACAAGUCAAGCAGGUGCGAAAGCAGGGCAUAGUGAUCCGGCGGUUGCGUGUGGAAGCGCCGUCGCUCAACGGAUAAAAGGUACCCCGGGGAUAACAGGCUCAUCUUCCCCAAGAGUCCAUAUCGACGGGAAGGUUUGGCACCUCGAUGUCGGCUCAUCGCAUCCUGAGGCUGAAGCAGGUCCCAAGGGUUGGGCUGUUCGCCCAUUAAAGCGGUACGCGAGCUGGGUUUAGAACGUCGUGAGACAGUUCGGUCCCUAUCCUCUGCAGCCGGAGGAAACUUGAGAAAGCCUGUCCCUAGUACGAGAGGACCGGGAUGGACGUAGCUCUCGUGUGUCAGUUGUCCUGCCAAGGGCAUUGCUGAUUAGCGACCUACGGAAGGGAUAAGCGCUGAAAGCAUCUAAGUGCGAAGCCUGUUUCUAGAUGAGGUUUCCCACUGGGUUAACCAGGUAAGGCCCGUGAUAGACCAACACGUUGAUAGGCCGGAGGUGUAAGCGUGGUAACACGUUCAGCCGACCGGUACUAAUCGGCCGAGGGCUUGGAUC